AAUGAACGUUGGCGGCGUGGAUUAGGCAUGCAAGUCGAGCGAUCGUAGCAAUACGGGAGCGGCGAACGGGGUAGGAAUACCUCGGAACAUACCCUCAGGUCGGGGAUAGCGGCGGGAAACUGCCGGUAAUACCCGAUGAUGUCGAGAGACCAAAGGUUUACUGCCGGAGGAGUGGCCGAGGCGAUAUUAGCUAGUUGGUGAGGUAAUGGCUCACCAAGGCAAAGAUGUCUAGGGGGCGUGAGAGCGCGACCCCCACCACUGGGACUGAGAAACUGCCCAGACACCUACGGGAGGCAG
rnacentral:rRNA from 1 species